GUUGAACGCUGGCGGCGUGCCUAACACAUGCAAGUCGAGCGGAGGAAGGGAGCUUGCUUCUGGAUUCAGCGGCGGACGGGUGGGUAAUUCCUAGGAGUCUGCCUUGUCGUGGGGGGUGACGUCCGGAAACGGGCGCUAAUCCCGCAUACGUCCAGAGGGAGAAAGUGAGGGAUCUUCGGACCACACGCUAACUGAUUAACCUAGGUCGGAUUAGCUAGUUGGUGGGGUAAAGGCCUACCAAGACGACGAUCAGUAACUGGUCUGAUAGGAUGAUCAGCCACACUGGAACUGAGACACGGUCCAGACUCCUACGGGAGGCAGAAGAGGGGAACAUCGGACAAUGGGCGAAAGCUUGACCAAGCAAGGCCGCGUGUGUGAAGAAGGUCUUCGGAUUGUAAAGCCCGUUAAGUUGGGAGGAAGGGCAGUAAGUUAAUACCUUGAUGAUUUGACGUUAACAACAGAAUAAGCAACGGCUAACUACGUG
rnacentral:rRNA from 1 species